rnacentral:rRNA from 1 species
UACGUAGGGGGCGAGCGUUGUCCGGAUUUAUUGGGCGUAAAGAGCUCAUAGGCGGUUUGGCAAGUCGGGUGUGAAAACUCCGGGCUCAACUCGGAGACGCCACUCGAUACUGCCAUGACUCGAGUCCGGUAGGGGAGUGCGGAAUUCCUGGUGUAGCGGUGAAAUGCGCAGAUAUCAGGAGGAACACCGGUGGCGAAGGCGGCACUCUGGGCCGGUACUGACGCUGAGGAGCGAAAGCGUGGGGAGCGAACAGG